CUAACUGCACUUGCGCCGUGCGCUUUAGACCAUGUGUUUAGAUCGAUUAUUACAAUUUUAAAAGUUAUAGUUAUUAUCGUUUCUUCCCAGAAAUGUAUUGUAAAGAUGUCAUGAUUUAGUGUUUUAUUUUAUUUUUUACAAUCUUUCUAAAAGACCACCAGGCAUUAUAAGUGUCCCACCUUUUCUGUAUCUAAGUUGUCUGAUGUGUCGAGUUUGUGCGCAGAGCACAAACUGAGAAGCCCACAAGAGCAAAAGCACGCAAACACAUUUCCUGUAUGAGCAGGGGGGAGACUGCAACUUACCAGAUAUGGGGGUGGGAUUCUUUACCUCCUACAAUGAAGAAUAGUACACACAGCCUCCUUUUUAUUCAUUAAAGGUCAAUGAGUAACAUACUGCCUUCUAAUUAUACUGUACACCUACAGUGAAGAAUAGUAAAUAUUACCUCCUGCUGUUAAUGUAUUAAAGGUCAAUGAGUAACA